UACGAAGGGGGCUAGCGUUGCUCGGAAUUACUGGGCGUAAAGGGUGCGUAGGCGGGUCUUUAAGUCAGGGGUGAAAUCCUGGAGCUCAACUCCAGAACUGCCUUUGAUACUGGGGAUCUCGAGUCCGGAAGAGGUGAGUGGAACUCCGAGUGUAGAGGUGAAAUUCGUAGAUAUUCGGAAGAACACCAGUGGCGAAGGCGGCUCACUGGUCCGGUACUGACGCUGAGGUGCGAAAGCGUGGGGAGCAAACAGGG
rnacentral:rRNA from 1 species